rnacentral:rRNA from 1 species
GACGAACGCUGGCGGCGGGCUUAACACAUGCAAGUCGAACGGAAAGGCCCUGCUUGUGUGGGGUGCUCGAGGGGCGAACGGGUGAGUAACACGUGAGUAACCUGCCCUUGACUUUGGGAUAACUUCAGGAAACUGGGGCUAAUACCGGAUAGGAGCGCCUGCUGCAUGGUGGGGGUUGGAAAGUUUCGGCGGUUGGGGAUGGACUCGGGGCUUAUCAGCUUGUUGGUGGGGUAGUGGCUUACCAAGGGUUUGACGGGUAGCCGGCCUGAGAGGGUGACCGGCCACAUUGGGACUGAGAUACGGCCCAGACUCCUACGGGAGGCAGCAGUGGGGAAUCUUGCACAAUGGGCGGACGCCUGAUGCAGCAACGCCGCGUGCGGGAUGACGGCCUUCGGGUUGUAAACCGCUUUAGCCUGUGACGAAGCGUGAGUGACGGUAAUGGGUAAAGAAGCACCGGCUAACUACGUG